AAGUCAGACCUCUAUCUU
rnacentral:misc_RNA from 1 species